GCUGCCCCUAGAGGCUUUCUAGGUUUGGCUGCAAUGUCACAUGUGCUUCAGUAAGUGGCAGACUGGAGAGAGGCCAUGCCUAGGUUCAGUGUUCUGGCCUGUGAACAUCUGAAUGAUUAGUAGUCUUAACAUU
ensembl:snoRNA predicted gene, 22438